GGUAGCGUGGCCGAGUUGGUCUAAGGCGUUGGAUUUAAGUUCCCAAUGAAGGUGACUUCGCGCGAGUUCGAAUCUCGCCGCUACCA
rnacentral:tRNA from 1 species